rnacentral:rRNA from 1 species
ACGCUCGACACCUACGGGAGGCAGCAGUGGGGAAUAUUGCACAAUGGGGGGAACCCUGAUGCAGCGACGCCGCGUGAGGGAAGAAGGUUUUCGGAUUGUAAACCUCUGUCCUUGGUGACGAUAAUGACGGUAGCCAAGGAGGAAGCCACGGCUAACUACGUGCCAGUAGCCGCGGUAAUCUGAGCGGGCUGGCAAGGC